rnacentral:rRNA from 1 species
GACGAACGCUGGCGGCAGGCUUAACACAUGCCAGUCGAACGGUAACUUCGGGUCUAGCGGCGGACGGGUGAGUAACGCGUGGGAAUAUGCCUCUUGGUACGGAAUAGCCGCGUGAAACUGGUAUUAAUACCGUAUGUGCCCUUAGGGGAAAGGAUUUAUCGCUGCGAGAUGGGCCCUGGUAGGUUUAGGUGGUUGGUGGUGUAAUGGCCUACCAAGCGGACGAUUGUUAGCUGGUUGGAGAGGAGGAUCAGCCACACUGGAACUGAGACACGGCCCAGACUCCUACGGGAGGCAGCAGUGGGGAAUCUUAGGCAAUGGGGGCAAACCUGACCGAGCCAUGCCGCGUGAGUGAUGAAGGCCUUAGGGUUGUAAAGCUCUUUCAGCUGGGAAGAUAAUGACGGUACUAGAAGAAGAAGCACCGGCUAACUCCGUG